GACGAACGCUGGCGGCGUGCUUAACACAUGCAAGUCGAACGGAAAGGCCCUGCUUUUGUGGGGUGCUCGAGUGGCGAACGGGUGAGUAACACGUGAGUAGCCUGCCCUUGACUUUGGGAUAACUUCAGGAAACUGGGGCUAAUACCGGAUAGGAGCUCCUGCUGCAUGGUUGGGGUUGGAAAGUUUCGGCGGUUGGGGAUGGACUCGCGGCUUAUCAGCUUGUUGGUGGGGUAGUGGCUUACCAAGGCUUUGACGGGUAGCCGGACUGAGAGGGUGACCGGCCACAUUGGGACUGAGAUACGGCCCAGACUCCUACGGGAGGCAGCAGUGGGGAAUAUUGCACAAUGGGCGGAAGCCUGAUGCAGCAACGCCGCGUGCGGGAUGACGGCCUUCGGGUUGUAAACCGCUUUCGCCUGUGACGAAGCGUGAGUGACGGUAAUGGGUAAAGAAGCACCGGCUAACUACGUG
rnacentral:rRNA from 1 species